UACGUAGGUGGCAAGCGUUGUCCGGAUUUACUGGGCGUAAAGGGCGUGCAGGCGGUCUGUUAAGUCUAGGGUGAAAGCUCCCGGCUCAACUGGGAGAGGUCCUUGGAUACUGGCGGACUUGAGGGAGGCAGAGGAAAGUGGAAUUCCCGGUGUAGUGGUGAUAUGCGUAGAUAUCGGGAGGAACACCCGUGGCGAAGGCGGCCGGCUGGGCCGUCCCUGACGCUGAGGCGCGAAGGCGUGGGGAGCGAACGGG
rnacentral:rRNA from 1 species